ACUUACGGCCAUACCACCCUGAUCGCGCCCGAUCUCAUCUGAUCUCGGAAGCUAAGCAGGGUCGGGCCUGGUUAGUACUUGGAUGGGAGACCGCCUGGGAAUACCAGGUGCUGUAAGCU
rnacentral:rRNA from 12 species